CCUACGGGUGGCUGCAGUGGGGAAUAUUGGGCAAUGGGCGCAAGCCUGACCCAGCAACGCCGCGUGAAGGAAGAAGGCUUUCGGGUUGUAAACUUCUUUUCUCAGGGACGAAGAAAGUGACGGUACCUGAGGAAUAAGCCACGGCUAACUACGUGCCAGCAGCCGCGGUAAUACGUAGGUGGCAAGCGUUAUCCGGAUUUAUUGGGUGUAAAGGGCGUGUAGGCGGGAGGGUAAGUCAGAUGUGAAAACGCAGAGCUCAACCCUAGGCCUGCAUUUGAAACUGUGUUGCUUGAGUGCUGGAGAGGCAAUCGGAAUGCCGGGUGUAGCGGUGAAAUGCGUAGAUAUAAGGAGGAACACCAGUGGCGAAGGCGGAUUGCUGGACAGUAACUGACGCUGAGGCGCGAAAGCGUGGGGAGCAAACAGGAUUAGAUACCCUUGUAGUC
rnacentral:rRNA from 1 species